rnacentral:ncRNA from 2 species
CGAAGAGACCUAUUAAGAAACCGUAUAAGUCUGCAAAUAGGGUGCGGACGUUUCUACGCGGCAACCGUAAAUUGCCUGCACUAUGGUGUUCUGAUCAUUCCGA